CUUAAAGUAUGGGUGAAGAUGAUAAAUAAGAAAGCCUUAGGAAAAAAAAAAAAAAACAACCCACAAAAGGGAAAGCUUCUUGCCAUCAUUGACGCUUGUUGCGCCUACCCCGCCUCGAUUCCUUCAUGUUUUUCUUGCUGAUUUCUUCUAGAUGGCUUCUCUGCCAUGCCUUUUGUUCUCAAAUACGGCUAGAUCGCUUCGAGAGCUACGCAUCGGCAGCUUCAAGAGGUUGAACCGAUUGACUCUGCAAAAUAUUUGGUUUGACUAUCCCCAGCGUGGGAAUCUUCAUUCCGAGAGAUUUGAUUCAAGAUCUCUCGAGUAAUCGCUUCACUUUUGACGGAUGUGAUUCAUUCUUUUCUUAGGUUUUUUCCUCGUUAUAUCAUUGUAAGUUAAUCCUCUCUGGAAUGUUUCCCUCUCUACUCGGUCUUAUUUGACUUUGAAAAUUGUAAAAUUCAAGAGGAGACGGGAAGUACCUUUGUUUAGUCUCAGAUCGUUGUAGGGACGUCGAUAAUUUUGGACAGACAUGGUGUUCAGUUCAUGCAGCUUUUGGAUCCGAAGGCAAUUUACACCUUCGCUAUCACGGAGUUAAACGAUUUCACAGCAAGGGUUCCUGGUUGCUGGCCCCCCGUAGGUGCAUGAUACGUGUGAGCACAAUAAUGAAGAUGUUGCUAUGACAUUCAUUUGUUGCCGCCGUUAUAUGUAACUCGAUGAUGUAAAUGGAUGUAUAAGACUUAGUCGGGACGUAAGGGCCGAGUUUGAGUUGGCUUGAGUCCCGAUUCAUCGUUGUUAUCCGACCUUUGCCAUGACAGGUGCGCUUGCAUGGUGGGUCACAGCAAACAUAAUAAAAAAGUGCUACGUUUUUUGUUGUGAUGGGGGAGAUCGCACGGGAGUUUGCCCGGGGUCUCCCCACCGCUUUGUGCCGUUGUCCUGUGCUGCCUUUUCUGCGUUCGUUUUUAUUUUAGCUCGCGACGCUCAUGAUUUCUUGCUUACCAGAUGAAAGAGAUAGCUGAGCUACGUCAGCAGCAUUACAACUGCAUGCACUUGCAAGUCCUCAUGGCUUUUGAGCAAUUUGAGAGGACACACAUGUAAUUGGGAGAAUUUGUGUUGGUGGAUUUCUGCAACCCUUUGAGAUCUUCAAUCGUGUAUACCUGUAUUUAAAUCAUUUUGGGGAUUAGAUUUUCUUUUGAGGAGGUUGAAGACGUGGAAAAGGUGUCCCGCACCAUGAUUUUAUUGGAAACAAACAUUACUUGAAGGCUUCUCAGUCGCAGCAGAUUCUUCAAAGUAGCUUUGUGCAUGAUAUGCAACAUCUGAGGUGACGUUGCUAUGACGAUCAUUUGUUUCUGCCCGUAUAUGUAACUCGAUGAUGUAAAUGGAUGUAUAAGACUUAGUUGGGACAAAAGGCCCGAGUUUGAGUGGGCUUGAGUCCUGAUUCAUCUUUGUCAUCCGACCUUUGCCAUGACAGGUGCUCUUGCAUGGCGGGUCACAGCAACUAUAAUAAAAAACUUCGACUUUUUUGGUUUGAGGGGGAGAUCACCUGGGAGUUGUCCUGGGGUCUCCCCACCGCUGUGUUCCAUUGUCCUGUGCUACUCUUUCUGUGUUCGUCUCUAUUUUAGCUCGCGAAGCCCGUGAUUUCUUACUUACCAGAUGAAAGGGAUAGCUGAGAUACAUCAACAACCUUACAACACUCGCAAGUUCACGUGGCUUUUGAGGUAUAAUAUAUACUCCAUCAAAUUUUCCUUUUUAUUUACAACAAUAUCUUUGGCUAUUCAAUUCAUUCAACUAUAGAUUUUAGUAUUUAUAUUUUAUCGUACUUAUCAAAAAAGAAAAAAAGAAAAAGAUUUGAGAAGUUAUGUCUUAGAGAAAGAUAUUUACUUGGACAUACAAUAUUGGGAAAUCUAACUGUGGAAAAGCUAUUUUACUUGGACAAGGUGCUCCAUAAAUGGUCUCAAGAUACAAUUAACAAGUAUUAGCAUAUAUAGUCAUGUUAUGACUUGUAAAAAAAAAAAAAAGCAUAUUAGUAAGAUAAGUGCCUUAGAAAUGAUCUUAGGUUGAAGAAUUUGAGAACCAUACAUUUUUUUAGUAAUUUUAAAGAUAGAAAAGAUAAAUAUUAAUUGUGUUUUAUUGGAAAUCGUUGGAAGUGGGCUAGUCUGGGAAUUCUUCAAAUCUUCUGACAUUGAAGGGUUUUUGGCAUUUUUCAUUUGUAAAAGAUUGGUUGCCCUCAAAUAAUACAGCACAAAGUAUUGUAGUUGUAUGUUACAGGGUUUUUUUUUUAGAUUCUGAAUGCCUCUAACUAAGAUAAAGUGCAUUUCAAUGGCUGCAAUUACACUGCACUAUCAGUCAUCCGAUAUCACAAUCCUGUUCACUUAGCCCUCAAUGGCAGCAACACCUAUAAGUUCCUUGAAAGAAAUUCAGAUAGAAUGUUGCAAUUAGUCACCAUGAUCAGCCAUGUGGGGGUGCAAUUACUUAGCCAAGAAGCAAUGCUAAGUUGACCAAAUUCGUGGGUCUUAAUGCUAGACUCACAAAGGAACAACUUUCAUGAAGGAAACAUGGUGAGAAGACACUUACAAGAGCUUUGAAUGAGGCGUGCAAAAGAGUUCAGAAAAGCUGUCUGAGAAUGUCUUUUGUGUUCUUUCAAAGAAAAGUGUCAAGGAGAGAUGAUUUGCUUGGGAAGUAGGUUGGAGGGCUUUUUAUACAAGUUAUGGAAGAUGAUAAGGCUGAAAUGAAGCUUGAGUGUUGGUCUUUUCUAACCAAUACAAUAUACAAAAAUCAGUCCAAGAUAUUUUUUCUAGAUGGAGUGUA